UACAGAGGGUGCAAGCGUUAAUCGGAGUUACUGGGCGUAAAGGGCGCGUAGGCGGUCAUGUAAGUGAGAUGUGAAAUCCCUGGGCUUAACCUAGGAACUGCAUCUUAUACUGUAUGACUGGAGUACUGUAGAGGGUAGUGGAAUUUCCGGUGUAGCGGUGGAAUGCGCAGAUAUCAGGAGGAACACCGGUGGCGAAGGCGGGUCUCUGGGCAGUAACUGACGCUGAGGAGCGAAAGCGUGGGGAGCGAACAGG
rnacentral:rRNA from 1 species